rnacentral:misc_RNA from 1 species
GAUCCCGCAGCAGCAUGGGAAGGAUGAACGGAUCGUCGAUCCAGCGGGAUCCGGGGGCCGCCGGAGGGGGCACCGGGGCGGCGGCGAGGAUCGCCGCCCUCAGCCAUGGAAAUGAGACUAUCGCCGCCGUUAAUAGCACGGAUCUGGAUAUGAGACGCAGCAGGCGGGGGUCGGGGAGGCGGAGGACGAUCCGGUCGGGGCCGAUCUCGAGGGAGUGCGAUCUGGCCGGCCUCGGCAAGCUCAUUAUCGAGAGAGAUCGAGAUCGAUCGAUGAAAUCGAGAUCGAGAGAUCGAAGAAACAGAGAGAUUUCCAAAAGAGGAAAGGGGGGAAGGAUUUAGCGGGUGCAAAACCUGGAGGAGGUGUGGUUUCCACCCACGAGGGCCACACGGGUAAUUUGGGAUCUCAGCGUGAGGAGGAGGAGCUGCUGUUGGCGGCGGCGGUCCAUGGUGGAGGUCAGAUCGGCGGCGGAGAUUGGAGGAUUAGGUCAUCCCUGGUCUCCACCGGCGAUCACCGGCGGGUGAGAGUGGGGAGUGGGAGGGGAGUGUGUUUUUU